rnacentral:rRNA from 1 species
AUUCCAGCUCCAAUAGCGUAUAUUAAAGUUGUUGCGGUAAAAAAGCUCGUAGUUGGAUUUCUGUUGAGAACGACCGGUCCACACAUCGUGUGAGCAUCUGGUUCGAUCUCGGCAUUCUCUCGAUGGACGUCUGCGCUUGAUUGCGUGGUCGGACUCGGGACUUUUACUUUGAGGAAAUUAGAGUGUUCACAGCAGGCCUACGCCCGAAUACGUUAGCAUGGAAUAAUACUAUAGGAUCUUGAUUCUAUUUUGUUGGUUUCUAGGAUUAAGAUAAUGAUUAAUAGGGACAAUUGGGGCAUUCGUAUCAACACGUCAGAGGUGGAAUUCUUGGAUUGUGUUGCGACGAACUACUGCGAAAGCAUUUGCCAAGGAUGUUUUCAUUA